rnacentral:rRNA from 1 species
CCGUUCAGGGGUAAACCUGAGAAAUCCAAAAGAUCGAAUGGGGAGAUUCACCGUCAGCGUAUCGGUUCGCUUGCGAGUGCGAUGUUCGACGUGCUUCGGUGCGUAGGCACGCGUUCGCUGGUCGUGUCCGAUUAUCGUUGGUGUGCACUUCUCCCCUAGUAGAACGUCGCGACCCGUUGGGUGUCGGCCUACGGUACGACAAGGUAGACUGUCGCGUCGCGUUCACGCGCGUACACGGCAGACCGUCGUUAUACCCGGCCGGCUGCCCGGCGGUAUAAGUCAUCGAACCGAUUGACAAUGGUAACGGGCCGCACGAUAUCGAUCGUUAACGCGAUCGUGUUAGUGCGUCAGGCUCGUCGGCAGGUCACCCGCGCACGGAUUUACGAACCUAGCGUCGUAUCCGGGCGCGGACGGUGUCCGUUAGUCGACGAUGUCCUCGGACGGGCUCUCUCGCCUUAUGGCGUUUUACCGGUCGGCGACGCUACUGCUUUGGGUACUUUCAGGACCCGUCUUGAAACACGGACCAAGGAGUCUAACAUGUGCGCGAGUCAUUGGGUUAUUUUAAAAGCGAAUAAGCCUAAAGGCGCAAUGAAAGUGAAGGUCGACCUUAGUGUCGAUCGAGGGAGGAUGGCCCGGGCUCGCUCGGGUCCGCACUCCCGGGGCGUCUCACGGUCGUUUCGACCAGAGA